UACGUAGGGUGCAAGCGUUAAUCGGAAUUACUGGGCGUAAAGCGUGCGCAGGCGGUUUUGUAAGUCUGUUGUGAAAUCCCCGGGCUUAACCUGGGAAUGGCAAUGGAGACUGCAAGGCUAGAGUUUGGCAGAGGGGGGUAGAAUUCCACGUGUAGCAGUGAAAUGCGUAGAGAUGUGGAGGAACACCGAUGGCGGAAGGCAGCCCCCUGGGUCAAGACUGACGCUCAUGCACGAAAGCGUGGGGGAGCAAACAGG
rnacentral:rRNA from 1 species